rnacentral:lncRNA from 1 species
UUUUAGGGCUUCACCUGUGGCAAAUGGAAGUUCCCAGGCUAGGGAACAAAACAGAACUGCAGCUGCUGGCCUAUGACACAGCCACAGUAAUGUGGGAUCUGAGCCGUGUCUGUAACCUACACCAUAGCUCAAGGCAAUGCUGGAUCCUUAACCUACUGAGCAGGGCCAGGGAUCAAACUUGCGUCCUUAAGGAUACUAGUUGGGUUUGUUUCCACUCAACCACAACAGGAACUCCCUAAAUUAAAGUCUUAAAUGUGAACCUGGAAACCACAAAACUCCUAGAAGAGAACAUAGGUAGAAAACUCUUUGUUGUAAAUCACUGCAAUAUUUUGGGGGAUCUGUCUCCUAAGGCAAAAGAAAUAAAAGCAAAAAUAAACAAAUGAGACCUAACUACAAAGUUUUUCACAGCAAAGGAAACCUUUGACAAAAUGAGGAGACAAUCUACUGAAUAGGAGAAGAUAUUUGCAAAUGAUAUGACAAAAAAAGAGUGAAUAUUGGAGUACCCAUCAUGGCUCAGUGGUUAACGAACCCGACUAAUAUCCAUGAGGAUGUGGGUUUGAUCCCAGGCCUUGCUCAGUGGGUUAAGGAUCUGUCAUCUGGCAUUGCCAUGAGCUGUGGUGUAGGUCACAGACAUGGCUUGGAUUCUGCGUUGCUGUGGCUAUGAUGUAGGCCAGCAGCUACAGUUCCAGUUCGAACCCUAGCCUGGGAGCCUCCAUAUACAGCAUGUGAGGCCCUGAAAAGAAAAAAAAGAGUUAACAUCAAAAAAUAAACAAACAGCUCAUACAACUCAGUAUCAAAAAAACCCAAACAACCUGAUUAAAAAAUGGGCAAAAGACCUGAACAGACAUUUUCCCAAAGAAGACAUACAGGUGGCUAAAAGGCACAUGAAAAGAUGUUCAACACUGCUAAUUAUUAGAGAAAUGCAAAUCAAAACCACAAUGAGAUAUCACCUUAUACCUGUCAGAAUGGCUAUCAUCAGAAAGUCUAAAUAAGGAUGUGAAGAAAAGGGAACCCCUGUACACUGAUGAUUAGAGUAUAAAUUGGUGCAGCUACUACAGAAAACAGUAUGGAAGUUCCACAAAAAAUGGAAAACAGAACUACCAUAUGAUCCAAUAAUUCUAUUCUUGGGUAUAUAUCUGGAAAAAAUGAAAAUACUAAUUCAAAAAACCAUAUGAAACCCAAUGUUUCACAGCAGCAUUAUUUACAAUAGCCAAGAUAUAGAAAUAACUCAAAUGUCCAUCAACAGAUGAAUGUUCCCUAUAACACAAAAGAAUAUUACUCAGCCAUAAAAAAGAAACAUUGCCAUUUGCAACAGCACAGAUGGACCUAGAGAGUAGGACACUUAGCGAAAUCAGUCACUCAGCAAAAAGACAAAUACUCUAUGCUAUCACUUAUAUGUGGAAUUUAAAAAACAAAUGAAUGUAUAAAACAAAACAGACACUGACUCACAGAUACAGAAAACAAACCAAUGGAUACCAGUGGGGUGAGGAAAGGGGCAAGAUAUGGGCAUGGAAUUAAGAGAUGCAAACUCCUAUGUACAAAAUGGAUAAGCAACAAGUCCAUAUACCCAGCACAUGGUUAAUAUAGCCAUUAUUUUAGAUUAACUUUAAAAGGAUUUUCAUCUAUAAAGAUACGGAAUCACUACGCCAUACACCUGAAACUAACAGUGUAAAUCAACCAUAUUUUGAUACAUUUUUUUGUAAAUAAGAGAAACUAUACAAAAAUUGGUAAUAAAUCUGUAAUGUUCUAACCCCCCCCAUUAUAGACUUUGGUCAUACAGAGGGAUGAGUACACAGUAAACAGAAGGGUAAAACGGAGGUAUGACCUAGUUAAAUGGUAAGAAAAGGAUUCCUUAGUGGUUUAUAUUAUAUAAAUGUUACAUUAUGUUACAUAUAAAACUAUAUUUGGAGAUAAAAAGAAAGGAUAAAUUUAACAUUUUUAAAGAUUUAAAGAUUCCUCCACUCCAAACUUUCCAUUUACAGGUGAAUAAACCAAGGGCCAAUCAUCUCAUCUUGGCCACGGAGCCAUUAACUGGAUUGAAUUCUUUGUGGCUUACAGAAGCAGCCCCAUGACUGACAGGUAGACGGAUGGACGGAUGGAUGCAUGGAUGGAUGGGUAGGUAGAUAAUAGAUAGUAUGUACAUCUUAUGGAUAUGUUUAAAUACAUGAGUAUGUAUGAAAAUGUGCAGAUGUAUUUCUCUAGGGCCAAAAAUACUUCCCUGAGUAUGGCCAACUAUGAACCUGUCAGAAAACAAACAAAAGAGAAACAUAAUGGCUUCAUAAUACCACUUGGAUCACUAGAAGGAAGCUGGAGAGGACCAUGUUAGCCUUUCUAAUUCUCUUACUGAUGUUGUACCCACAACAUCAUUUAAAACUUACACCAAGUAUUUCAUGUGAAUAUCUCGUUUCUUCAUAACACCUCUGUGCAACAAGUGUGAUUAUUAUCCUACUUUCAGAGAAAAAAAAAAAAAAACCCAAAGAUAUAAAAAGGUUGAGCUGUUUGCUUCAAGUCCAGCAGCUAGUAGGUGUCAGAUCCAGUAUUUGAACCCAAAUUUGUAAGAUUUCUACCUGCGGUGUUAACUGUGAUCCCCCUUCUCUCUCUCUCUCUCAACCACUCUCUAGAACUGAGAAAAGAACUUCAUUCUACAUAUGACAACACUCAAUGAAAUCAUAAAUCUAAUUAGCAAAAACUUUUGCUUUUGAACCCAACAUGACAACAUUCUGUCUUCCACAUGCAGAGAUGGGGCUGGGGUCAUGUACAGUGGGUCCGUCUUAUCCUCCCCUGUGAGGCACUGCCUUCCAAAGGCCUCCCAGGUGGGCAGGGCUCUCUUCCAGAUCUGACCUCCCUCCUCUCCUCCAGAUCCCAGCAGAGCAAAAACAAUCAGGCCUGCUCGGAUGCAGUUAACAGGAACCCACGCUGGGGCUUUGUAUUUUGUGUUUUUAAGGAUCGGCUAUGCAUGCAAUAGCCAAGUGGUCUUUAACUUCGUUCCUAUCAUGGUGACUAGGACAGCGAUCUGUCUUAGCACGGACUGGUGAGAACAAUAAGUGCAAACAGUAUCUGUGGUUUUGGAACCCUAGGCAAAAAGCUGAAGUGUCAACUCCCACUGUGACAAAACUGAUGUGAACGAAAUUUUAAAUACCUUUAAAAAUGAUCUCAGAACUCAAGGGCUUUGUGAUCCCAGAGUGAUCACAUCACUAGGGGGCAGGGGCGCUGUGCAAGCCCCACAGCAUAUGUUUCUCUAUAGGCCAGCGUUCACUUAUCUUCCUACAAUGUGCAGGCUCACAGAGGAGCACCAUGGAAUGAAGAGCAUGUGAAAUGUAUGCAAAUGAGAGCUGGUGUUUCCGAAGCCCCAGGUGGUAAGCUGGCAAGGAGGCAUUUAUGAUUCAGGCCACACAGCUACAGCAGGUAAAGGUGUAUGGAUGCCUCCCCAACACGGUGUAUUUUAGAUCGGGAGUCAGCCUGCUUUAAAAUCCUAUCACAACCACUUAGAAGCUGUCUCACCUUGGAUGAGUUAUUUAAGCUCUUGAAACCCCAGUGUCCUCAUCUAUACAAUGGAAAUGAUACCUCACAGUGUCAUAGCGCAGUUAAACAGAGAAAAUGCACAUAUACAUUACUUAGUAAGGUGACUGGCAAACAUUCAAUAGUGCCAAAGAGAGGUUAGCUGCUGUGACUGCACAUUUAUUUUUAACGUUUCUUAGAAAUAGUCUUACUGGGAGGUUGCUAUUCGGUAUACACAAUACCACACAAAGUUUCUCCAACAUAAAUUCUAGCUAAAAAUGGAGACGUAUUUGCACAUACAGACAGAGAUGUUUAUGUCAUAUUUCAAAACUAUUAGAAGGUUAAUCUAAGUGUGAGACACAAUUAUUAGGCAUCAUGUGUUUAAGGGUUACAGUAUCUGUUACUGGGUAACAGAGCUGCUUAUUAUUACUCUUAUCCCUGUUGAUGUUCCGAUUUCUCUGAUAAUCUCAAUUUUUCCACGUACAAGUAUCAGAACAUCUGCUUCUUUACAAAGUGUAACAUGCAGAAAGAAUUUUCCAACUCCUUCUCUUGCCUACUUCUCUGAACCAAUUACACUGUCCUGGGUAGUGGAGAAUACUGAUUCUGUUUCCCACCUCCUUUGCAUAUGGCAUAUGCAGAUGUUGCUGGACCAACAUUUCCCCAAUGAGAACGUCCCAUUUUAUUCAACCAACACUUAAAAAAUUCCUCUCUUGGCUUGGGCUCUACUCUAGUCAUGCUACAGUUCCUAGUUACUUCACAUUAGAAGGAGAGGGACUUGCCAGUAUACUUUUCUACUGUACAUGUGGCUGAAAUGAAAACAAACUCCAGAACCGCUGGGAAUGUGGGGAUGGAAUUUUGAAUAUUCUGUGAAGCAAGCCAUAAGUCGAUUCCAGCCACAUGUGUCUCUUCCAACUAUUUUUGUCACCAUUUUCCCAGUCUAAAAUCUUUAACUCCAAGGAAAGACCACUGACUCCACCACCCUAAGUGUUACAUUUAAAUCCUAGCAGGAGGAUGUAACAUCCUUAGGAAGAAGAUGUGCUUAUUUUCAAACUGAGAGUAUAUUUCAAGAAACGUAAAACUCUCUAUGUCUAUGUAUCUAAGUAUAUAUGUUUUUUCUUUUAGAGAACUUGUAAAAUGUGUAUGUAGAAUAUUUUUUAAAAUAUUAACAUCAAGAAAUGUUAUUAUAUCACUUAAGUCUGAAAUUACCCAUGACUAUGCAUUCAUAUAUUCAUUGACACUUAUUGGUACUAUCUUAAUCUGUAAGACUUAGGAUACCAAAGUGAAAACAAACAGUCCUUUUCCUCUAGCGCCUUUAAAAAUAGUUAAAGAAUAAAGAAUGCGCUCAAAUAAUUAGAUUGUGGAGUAGCAUGGGAUGGAGCCACAAAAGAGGGAAAAACUGAGGUUCAUGGGCUUUUGAAAAAUGAGAUUCACUUUUAGGUGGGUGGGCAGGAUGCCCUGAAACCAGAUGCAAAGAACAUGAUGAGAUAAGAAGAUCAGCAAGGUUCAUGGACAAGGUUGCAUCUGAGUCAGCUGUUUAUAGCCUUUAGUAAAUAAUUGUAGAGGAAGGGCAUUCCAGGUGGAGGAAAACAGAUAUCCAAGGGUGCAGAAGAGCAAUGGCAUAGACUGCAUGCACAAGGUGGGGAUUGCUGCUUCAAAGCAAGGCUGGAACCAGGAAGGUAAGAGACAAAAUAUAGUUUCAAAGGACCUGGGUCCUGUCCUUACAGAAUCAGGAUGCAGAGAAUGGCGAAGGGUUAAAGAUCACAAAGACCUUAAGCCUCUAUAGCUGAAAUGAGGUUGACACCUUGGAAAGAAAUAGGAAAAUUAGGUUAAACAUAAAUAGCAUUAUUAUUUUUUUUGUGUGUGGAGUUCCUGUGGUGGCUCAGUGGUUAACGAAUCUAACUAAGAACCACGAGGUUGUGGGUUUGAUCCCUGGCCUCACUCAGGGGGUAAGGAUCCAGCAUUGCCGUGAGCUGUGGUAUAGGUCGCAGACGUGGCUUGGAGCCCGCAUUGCUGUGGCUCUGGUCUAGGCCAGCGGCUACGGCCCUGAUUGGACCCUUAGCCUGGGAACCUCCACCUGCUGCAGGUGCAGCCCUAGAAAAGACCGAAAGACAAAAAAUAAAUAAAUAAAUAGUAUUUUUGGAAACCGUGAUAAACUCAGGUUGUGUAUCACUGAAUCUGACCUACUGGGAUUUCAACAGAAACUAUCACAAGUACUGUGAAUAAAUUAUACUGGCCCAGAUGAUAAGGACCUCAGGUGGCACAUGCCUUAUUCAAUCUCAUGCCACUGACCCUGCCCUCUCCUCCUCAGAGAUGGCACAGCAAGCACUUUCCAUUUUC